CACUUCCUCCUCCUCGUUCCUCCAGCCUCCACUUCCUCCUCGUUCCUCCAGCCUCCCAAAGAACAGAACACCACCCAGUCACCGCACUCACCGCACUCACCACCCAGUUGUCAACUCCAGACUCCAUGAGGCCCUCAACGCAGUCACCGCCGUCGCACUCACGCCCUCAGCCACUUCGCAUGUCACCUCCGUCGAGCUCUGCCUCUGAGAAAGCAGUAGAGAAGCGUUGAAGCGUUGAAGCAUUGUCCUUCAAGCUCUGAGAGAAAGCAACAGAUUUCCUCAUUUUCAGGUUUUUUGAUAGGGAAGUCAUGGAUGAAGAUCUUUUCUGGGCCAUUAAAGGUGGUGGUGGAGCAAGCUUUGGAGUGAUCUUAACAUGGAAGAUCAAGCUCAUUCCAAUUCCAUCAACUGUGACACCGUUCAGAAUUCUCAAAAAGGUUAAACAGAAUGCAACGAAGCUUGUUCAUAAAAGGCAGAGUGUGGCAAGUAGACUUGACAAUAAUCUAGUCCUUGGUCUGUUGGUGUAGACGGUGAAUUUAAGCAUUAACAAAGGAAAGUUGACUGUGCAAAUUUUGUUUAACUGUUUAUUUCUUGGAAGUAUUAAUAUGCAAUUUUCUUAAAGUUUCAGUGCUCCUACUACCCAUCAUGUAUAUCACGAACAAACAGUGACGGACCUAGAAAAAUUUUAUCGUGGGGGCAAAAGUAUAAUAAAAUUUAAGUAUAGAUAUAUUUGUUUUGGUUA